GAUGAACGCUAGCGGGAGGCUUAAUACAUGCAAGUCGAGGGUAACAGGGGCUUCGGCCCGCUGACGACCGGCGCACGGGUGAGUAACGCGUACGCAACUUACCUCCAAGCGAGGGAUAGCCCUGGGAAACUGGGAUUAAUACCUCAUGUGAUUAUGAUGCCGCAUGGUGUUAUAAUUAAAGUUCAGGCGCUUGGAGAUGGGCGUGCGUCCUAUUAGCUAGUUGGUGAGGUAACGGCUCACCAAGGCGACGAUAGGUAGGGGCGUGAGAGCGUGGCCCCCCACCACGGGUACGUGAGACACGGACCCGACUCCUACGGGAGGCAGCAGUAAGGAAUAUUGGACAAUGGGCGCAAGCCUGAUCCAGCCAUCCCGCGUGCAGGAUGACAGCCCUACGGGUUGUAAACU
rnacentral:rRNA from 1 species